UGUAGUUGUUUUUUCUCUCUAUGUAUAACGUUACUUCAGUGCUCGAAUUGAGGGGGGGGGGGGAUCCGGCACCCCCAUAAGAAGAAAAAAUAGACUUGGGGGGGUCCUUCAGAUAUUUUUAUUUGAGUAAAAAUGAUAAUGGCAAAUGUGAUUAAAUUCAUGCAAUGGAUUUGUUAACUUUAGUGAAUUAAUUAUUUACAAUAAUUUAUAUUAAGUUUGUUUAUGGGUUAGUUGUCAAACGCCCCGCCCCGGGUCUAAAGACCGCUAAGCGCAGGACAUCGUUGACAUGACUGCUUGAUUUGCGCCGCUCCGGUGAAGCUAACUUCAGCUAAAAAAAAAAUGGAGAAUAAUAAACCUCCACUCGCAGUCGGGAAGAGCAAGCUUCUUGGUUCUUACUGACUUUUUUGAGGGAGCCCACCAAGGAAGACUUGAAGUGUUUUAAUGACUAUGAGACAGAAAUGAAAUGCAGUCUCUCCUCUAAACGUCUCCAAAGCUGCUCUGGACACAAACUCAACAUCACACAUCCUGUAUCCAAUACAUUUGAAAAG